rnacentral:rRNA from 1 species
UUAAGCGACUAAGCGUACACGGUGGAUGCCUUGGCAGUCAGAGGCGAUGAAGGACGUGCUAAUCUGCGAUAAGCGUCGGUAAGGUGAUAUGAACCGUUAUAACCGGCGAUUUCCGAAUGGGGAAACCCAGUGUGAUUCGUCACACUAUCAUUAACUGAAUCCAUAGGUUAAUGAGGCGAACCGGGGGAACUGAAACAUCUAAGUACCCCGAGGAAAAGAAAUCAACCGAGAUUCCCCCAGUAGCGGCGAGCGAACGGGGAGCAGCCCAGAGCCUGAAUCAGUGUGUGUGUUAGUGGAAGCGUCUGGAAAGGCGUGCGAUACAGGGUGACAGCCCCGUACACAAAAAUGCACAUACUGUGAGCUCGAUGAGUAGGGCGGGACACGUGGUAUCCUGUCUGAAUAUGGGGGGACCAUCCUCCAAGGCUAAAUACUCCUGACUGACCGAUAGUGAACCAGUACCGUGAGGGAAAGGCGAAAAGAACCCCGGCGAGGGGAGUGAAAAAGAACCUGAAACCGUGUACGUACAAGCAGUGGGAGCACGCUUAGGCGUGUGACUGCGUACCUUUUGUAUAAUGGGUCAGCGACUUAUAUUCUGUAGCAAGGUUAACCGAAUAGGGGAGCCGAAGGGAAACCGAGUCUUAACUGGGCGUUAAGUUGCAGGGUAUAGACCCGAAACCCGGUGAUCUAGCCAUGGGCAGGUUGAAGGUUGGGUAACACUAACUGGAGGACCGAACCGACUAAUGUUGAAAAAUUAGCGGAUGACUUGUGGCUGGGGGUGAAAGGCCAAUCAAACCGGGAGAUAGCUGGUUCUCCCCGAAAGCUAUUUAGGUAGCGCCUCGUGAAUUCAUCUCCGGGGGUAGAGCACUGUUUCGGCAAGGGGGUCAUCCCGACUUACCAACCCGAUGCAAACUGCGAAUACCGGAGAAUGUUAUCACGGGAGACACACGGCGGGUGCUAACGUCCGUCGUGAAGAGGGAAACAACCCAGACCGCCAGCUAAGGUCCCAAAGUCAUGGUUAAGUGGGAAACGAUGUGGGAAGGCCCAGACAGCCAGGAUGUUGGCUUAGAAGCAGCCAUCAUUUAAAGAAAGCGUAAUAGCUCACUGGUCGAGUCGGCCUGCGCGGAAGAUGUAACGGGGCUAAACCAUGCACCGAAGCUGCGGCAGCGACGCUUAUGCGUUGUUGGGUAGGGGAGCGUUCUGUAAGCCUGUGAAGGUGUGCUGUGAGGUAUGCUGGAGGUAUCAGAAGUGCGAAUGCUGACAUAAGUAACGAUAAAGCGGGUGAAAAGCCCGCUCGCCGGAAGACCAAGGGUUCCUGUCCAACGUUAAUCGGGGCAGGGUGAGUCGACCCCUAAGGCGAGGCCGAAAGGCGUAGUCGAUGGGAAACAGGUUAAUAUUCCUGUACUUGGUGUUACUGCGAAGGGGGGACGGAGAAGGCUAUGUUGGCCGGGCGACGGUUGUCCCGGUUUAAGCGUGUAGGCUGGUUUUCCAGGCAAAUCCGGAAAAUCAAGGCCGAGGCGUGAUGACGAGGCACUACGGUGCUGAAGCAACAAAUGCCCUGCUUCCAGGAAAAGCCUCUAAGCAUCAGGUAACAUCAAAUCGUACCCCAAACCGACACAGGUGGUCAGGUAGAGAAUACCAAGGCGCUUGAGAGAACUCGGGUGAAGGAACUAGGCAAAAUGGUGCCGUAACUUCGGGAGAAGGCACGCUGAUACGUAGGUGAAGCGACUUGCUCGUGGAGCUGAAAUCAGUCGAAGAUACCAGCUGGCUGCAACUGUUUAUUAAAAACACAGCACUGUGCAAACACGAAAGUGGACGUAUACGGUGUGACGCCUGCCCGGUGCCGGAAGGUUAAUUGAUGGGGUUAGCGCAAGCGAAGCUCUUGAUCGAAGCCCCGGUAAACGGCGGCCGUAACUAUAACGGUCCUAAGGUAGCGAAAUUCCUUGUCGGGUAAGUUCCGACCUGCACGAAUGGCGUAAUGAUGGCCAGGCUGUCUCCACCCGAGACUCAGUGAAAUUGAACUCGCUGUGAAGAUGCAGUGUACCCGCGGCAAGACGGAAAGACCCCGUGAACCUUUACUAUAGCUUGACACUGAACAUUGAGCCUUGAUGUGUAGGAUAGGUGGGAGGCUUUGAAGUGUGGACGCCAGUCUGCAUGGAGCCGACCUUGAAAUACCACCCUUUAAUGUUUGAUGUUCUAACGUGGACCCGUGAUCCGGGUUGCGGACAGUGUCUGGUGGGUAGUUUGACUGGGGCGGUCUCCUCCUAAAGAGUAACGGAGGAGCACGAAGGUUGGCUAAUCCUGGUCGGACAUCAGGAGGUUAGUGCAAUGGCAUAAGCCAGCUUGACUGCGAGCGUGACGGCGCGAGCAGGUGCGAAAGCAGGUCAUAGUGAUCCGGUGGUUCUGAAUGGAAGGGCCAUCGCUCAACGGAUAAAAGGUACUCCGGGGAUAACAGGCUGAUACCGCCCAAGAGUUCAUAUCGACGGCGGUGUUUGGCACCUCGAUGUCGGCUCAUCACAUCCUAGGGCUGAAGUAGGUCCCAAGGGUAUGGCUGUUCGCCAUUUAAAGUGGUACGCGAGCUGGGUUUAGAACGUCGUGAGACAGUUCGGUCCCUAUCUGCCGUGGGCGCUGGAGAACUGAGGGGGGCUGCUCCUAGUACGAGAGGACCGGAGUGGACGCAUCACUGGUGUUCGGGUUGUCAUGCCAAUGGCACUGCCCGGUAGCUAAAUGCGGAAGAGAUAAGUGCUGAAAGCAUCUAAGCACGAAACUUGCCCCGAGAUGAGUUCUCCCUGACCCUUUAAGGGUCCUGAAGGAACGUUGAAGACGACGACGUUGAUAGGCCGGGUGUGUAAGCGCAGCGAUGCGUUGAGCUAACCGGUACUAAUGAACCGUGAGGCUUAACCUU